CACAGGGUAGGUAGGCUCUUCACUCUUGUACGUCAGCCGCUGCUCAGCAGAGGCAGUGAAGGGCCCAGGGCUUUUUCAAGGAAUAUUGAAAACAUACUGCUGAAACAAAGCCCACAAGAUUUCACAGCAAUCGUCAGUUUUAGUUUAUUCUCAUUCAAAGUUGAGUGUCUGCAGAAGUCCACUGGGGAAGUCUUCAUAGUAAAAAAACCAGGGGAGUUGUGGAAUCCUCAGGAUCUUUUCCCCUCAGGACAUUCCCCAGAGCCUUCCUCGGGAGAGACUUACCAUUGAGUUUCCACACCUGGGCGGACAGAAAAGACUUCCCCAUGGAGUCUUGCACAGCACUGAUCCAUCCCAGGAUCAGUAAACACUGAUCCUCCUCCCAUAUGUCCCAACUUCCCCUGGUUUCUCCUUUCCCUGUUUCCUCAUUGGUUGUGGUACCCCUGGUGGCCAUCCCUGCCUUCCCUUUGUACUGCCCCCAUAUCUUCCCCUACUUAAGCCUUGUGCAGAGCACACGUUCUGCCUUUUGUCCCUGGUUCCCCUUGGCGUGUUGGAUACAAUAAACCUUGGCUGGAAUUUAUCAUACAAAAGGGCC